GCUCGGGUGGCUCAGUCGGUUAAGCGUCUGACUUCGGCUCGGGUCAUGAUCUCACAGUCUGUGGGUUCGAGCCCCACGUCGGGCU
rnacentral:tRNA from 1 species